UGCAUGGAGAAUUGAAACAAUACUAUAUCAUUUUGGUUAUGAAUGAAAGUUAAAUUGUUCUGACUCUACAACUUGGAAUAAAGUCUUUUAGAUCAAAGAGAAACAACAAUUGUGGGCUUAGUUCCGUUCUUCAAAGAGCAUGGCAAUCCAAAUUACAUGGGAAACCUCAGCAUUACCGUCAGCGUUAAGUCUGGCACAUAUGCAUAUUCACCCGUUUAUGCGACUGACAAUCUUCCAAUCUACCAACUAUCAAUCUCCCUUCCGGUAAAGUUUAUGCCAGUGUAAUAUGCUUGGGUUGGGAAUAUGUGUCACACAGCAAGACUGAAAUUAUAUAUAUACAUGUAUAGUGGAAGAUACAGUCGCACUGUAGUCUGAUCAUAAAAGAAAAAGAAUAACAAAAUAUCGAGGGCGUGUGAUGCUGCUUUUCUCUAAUAAUAGGUAAAGGGGUAUGUGAUAAUUCACUCAGGAUUUUCAUGACCAUUGCUGGCGAAUUGCUGGCGGAUUGAUUGACGGUCAGUCGAUGGGGACGUAUAGUCAAUCAUUGGUUCAUGGCCGAUCGAUCAUUGAUCGAUAUUCAAUCUAUCGAAUCACCAUUCACUGUAACACUCAACUAACUGCUCAGCUCAAUCCUCGUAUCGACGGAUCUAUUAGGGAUGACAAACAUGAAUAACUUUUCUAUUUUCGUAUUCAAAUUUAUAAACAUUACUGGCGUUGGAUGGAGCUCGCAACUCUUUUUAAAAAUUCUACGGAAAUUAUCAAUAAUCGUCUAUAAGAUUAAGUGAUAAACAUUAUGUAAUUUUAUACAUAUGAUAAUAUAAUGCUCUGUAUAUUUGGAAAAAUACUUCCUCCCCUUGUAAUAUGAUUUUGAAGAUUCAUGAUUAAAAAGUAACAAUCCAUUGGCAAAGCAAUAUUUGGAAAAUACAUUUUGGGUAAAAUGAUACUGAGUCACAUAUUCAUUAGAAUAUUAUUAUCUUAUUUUUAUAAUUGGAUUAUAUAGUUGAUACACGUUACUCUCUGCAGAGCAAAAGUACUCAAAUAAUAACAGAUGAAUCUAUUUCAUUGCAUCACAAACGCGACGUUCAGUAACGUACUGAACAUUUGUGUCGUAGGGUGCGACGUAAGUGUAUACGAUUUUGCUCAGAGAAGUUGGUUUCCCUUGAAACGUCGUGAAACCGGCCGUAGUAGACAGCCAGCAUCAAAUUAUUGCAAACAAUUACGUUUAAUGGGAAGGUUAAUGGCUAUGGUCGACCAGUUGGUAGAACGAAGGAGAAUAGGUAAUGGUACGAAGAGUGUGAACGUUGAUGCAAAUGUGCUGACGUCGAGUAAUUAGCAAACACGGGUGGCAACCAAGUUCUUAUUAUAUUAGGUAGAUUUUCCCAAGAAGGAAGAUUAUCCUGUGCAUUAAUUGCAGUUGAAUAAUAUUGACUCAUUCUUUCCCAAGAUCUGCUCAGGUUUGAAGUUAUCGACAUGACUAAUGGAAAGUUUUGAGAUCGUUGAAUUCAAAUUUGCUCUUAGCGAUCCACUAAUGGUAUCUGAUUUCGAUCAACCCGCAAUGUGGAAGCUAUGUGCGAAGUUAGUAUUAGUUAACGAAAACUCCUUCCAUGAGCCAUUUUAUGGAGAUAAGCAGAUAUUGUCCAGUUUUUUCCUGAAUCAUUGUUCCAGAUGCACCCAAACAUACUAGUCUCACUGGCAUGCAUACCUGGAAUAUUCACAGCUCAUCAAUUGGCACAACAUGGAUGAUAAAUGGCUUCACACCUUUGCCACUUGAGGCAUCCCAGAAUGGGCACGAGUCAAUAUAUUCAUAUCAUGCUGAUGGAACAAACUGAAGGUGCAUACAGAUCUUUUAUCCUAAAGUUGAUUUACAAUUAAUGAUGGUUUGAACAUCAUUUCUAUAAUUACAAUGACAUACAAAUGGUUUGCUUGUAUUGGUUAGUCGUAUGUCGUCAUAAAUAGUCAGGGAAAAAAAUAUGCUUGAAUGAAGUACAUUCUUUGAUGAUGAUUAGAAAAAAAUUAUUUUUACAUGAAUCUAUUAUCUACUGUAAAAAUAGUGACCAUAGUAAAUACUGUAAAAACGUGUGGAAUGUGUGAAAUCAAUAAAGAAUGAAUGAGUGAGUGCUUUGUUGUAUUGGAUAUUUGUGCACGUGUGAAAGAACAUGACUCUAGUGGACAUUAAGGUUUGUUGAGACGUUAAGAUUUUAAGGUAAUUUAUGUGUUUUGUUUAAUGUAAGGAAUGCAAGGGAAAGGAGGCGUGAGUGUCGAGCAUGACAGGUUUAUUAUAGUUGUGUUUCGCGUUCUAAGGAUUUUUUCUAGAAUAGUGGUGAGUGUUGUCCGGCCAUGUGGGGUUACUCAUGGGACAGACCCUGCAUUGUUGAAGGACUCAGGGAAGGAAACGCGUAAUGAAAGAAAGGGACAGAAGACAGUGCAUUUUCGGGUGUGAGCUGCGGAAUGAGUUAGUUUAAGUUGUGACUUGACCGCGGACGCGUGAGGAUACUCUUCUCAUCCUCCUAUUUAAUUUUGAUUGUAUUUUACCUUUAUAAUAUACUGUUCCUUCAUAAAAUAAACUUAAUCAUUUAUCUUUUCAUUUGAUAUUGAUCCUACAAACGUUUAUCUUCAAUAUGUGUUUUCAAUCAUUAGUUAGGGUUUGUCAGGAUCAUGGACCAUUAACGAAAUAUGCUGGAGGACUAUUUAUGAAUGUUGGUGUUUAACGCACAUUGCACUAAGAACAGCCUAUUCAGUUAACCAGGAAAUUAGGGAAUCAGUAAAUUGACUCCUAUACAUCCAUCACGGCGACUGUGCGAUCAAUGGCGUGGCUCGGUUACACUGUUCUCCGGAACAUCGGCUGUUUUUGCAGGGAGAUGGGCUCCUCUGGUCAUUGGCAAUAAUGACCGUUAUCUACAAUAUGAUUGUCUACAGGGAUAAGAGAAUCGAAAAGAAAAAACACUAAAAAAUAUGAGGCUGUACACUUAAGCUGCCGCAUAUCGAAACCGUCAUAUCAACUUCUCAAACGAGACGGGUUAUUGAUGGACGAGAAAAGAGUACUGCUACGGGGAGAGUGGAAAGGAUUAUAAAUAAAGUAUACAUUGAAGAACUUUUCGAAAAAGCUGGGUACAUUCAUCGUGCAGGUAAAUCACCUAUAAAUAAAUGACAUACCGCACUCACCAACUACAUCGCAAUGAUUUAGACUUUUUUAGAUUAUAGAGAUGUUGAUUAAUUGUGUUUAUAUUUAUAUCCGUUGCCAUGGAUGAAAGUGGCUCGAAUGAUAGAUUAAGAUUGAAAUUGAAUUUUGAUCAAGCACCUGUAUAGAAAUGCUCGUUAAAAUUGAAUACACACAAUACUCCAAUUCAUCACAAGGAAAUCUCGACAUUCUAACACAAAUUGAACAUUUCGGCAUAAAAACUAUUCAAAAUAAUCAAUUUAAAUAGCUGCUUCUUUCUUUAUAAAUUUAUUUACGCGAUCAUUAUUAUAAUUUUACUUAAAAUUGAAAGGAAUAAGG